rnacentral:rRNA from 1 species
UAAUUUAUAUUUUAAUUAAGAUUAUGAAAUUUAUUAUUUAGUUAUGAUUGGGGUGAUUUUUAAAGAUUAUUAAUCUUUAAAAUUUUUUAAUAAAAAAGUUCCAUUAGUAGUGAUUUUUUGAUAAAAAUACUCUAGGGAUAACAGCGUUAUUAUUUUGGAUAGUUCAUAUAGAUAAAAUAGUUUGCGACCUCGAUGUUGGAUUAGGAUUCUUUUAUGAUGAAGAAGUUAUAAGGGAGAAGUUUGCUCAACUUUUAAAGUCCUACUUGAUCUGAGUUCAGACCGGG